UCCUGCCUUUCACCUCCUUCUGACUCAUCUCUGAAUUGUUUCUUGUGAUUGUGUCAAGAAUCUGGAAACUAGCUGGGCUGGGGUCUCACUGGCAUGCAGAGACUCUCCUGGGAUCACACUGGCAUCCACAGAGCCUCUUGAGCCCUCCAGCAACAAGUUGAUCUGGUAAUAGCUUUGGAACUUUGAGGGGAAGUUGGAGACUUGGCAUGAGGGAUAAAUGCAGUGGACUGAGACUUUAGACAAGUGGGGAUGGGGUCUUUGACCAGGCGCCAGUGGUAGCUCUCCACGCAAGCUGCUCGUUUCCUAUGGAUCCCCCUAGCUGUGGUGGGCAUUGCAGUUGCCCUUGGGUAUUUCGAGUGGCAGGGUCUGCUCACCCUGGAUAGACCAUCACUAUCCAGCUGUGCCACUUUGCAUGCUCCAUCCUUCCUCUGCUCCUUCUCGGCUGCUGAUUUUAGAAACAAGGUAGACCAGGAUAUUGCCACGGUUUCUACGGGACUGAACAAAGGGGGACCCACACAGGAAUGAAAACUUAAAACAAAACAGCCACUAAGGAAGGCGCAGAGGGACUUCCUUUCGGCCCGAAACAGUAUCUGUGCUGCCAAAGCUCCACCAGCAGAGAACAGAGAAGGGGAGAAGAGGAAAAGCAGCUGGACGUCGGGGACUGCGGUUUGACGUCGGAGAGAAGCAGCUUGACUUCAGAGGGACAGCUUGACCGCUUUGCUUUGGAGAGGAGUCUGGCUGGGGAUGGCUGGACUCCAGGGGAAGAUCGUCUUCCUGUUCCAUCCCUUUUCCAGCUCCCCUCCCACUGAGAGCCACUUUCAUUGGCAAUAAAAUCCUCCAUAUUCACCACCCUUCAAUUCGUUCAUGCGACCUGAUUUUUCCUGGAUGCCAAACAAGAGCCCAGGUGCCACAGGUGUGGAUACUAAAGGCUGUCACACUGACCCUUUGCCCUUGCUGGCAGAGAGCAACCACUUCAUGCAAAAAGGCAGAGGGCCCACUGAGGUAUUUAACACUUAAGCUGUCCGUGGACAGCCAAGCUAAAAGAACACUGUAACACACUCCCUCUGGGGCUUCUGGGGUCCCUGGUAUUCCUGACGAGACACUGUCAUGGGGCCUGCAGGGAGUUUUGCUCCUGCCAACACCCAAAAGCACUCUUUCUGGCUCCUGCACCCGCUCACCUGCGUGCUUCCCCUUCCCUCAAGGGCUUGAGAGCUGCAGGCUGAGUAAGUAGGCACCCUUGUCACGAGGUCCAAAAAGGGAUCAAGGAAAAUUUCCUGUUUCAGUGCUUUGGCAAAAACUUGAGUCAAUGAUACAGAAAAGUUAUGAGAGUUGAAAUCCUUGUCUAGUUCCCACUCAUAAUUCACUGAUUUUUAUUUCUGUAGUUUAUAAUCUGAGGUUAAUUCUAUCCAAUAAUAUUUUCAUUGUAGUAAUUGGGUAAUUUUUAUAUUUAGAUAUUGCUUUUGGUUUCUUUUUUGUAACGUCCAGUUCUCCAUUUUUUUGGUACAUAUAAAUAAAUAUAAUAACUCUUUUAAUGUUAUUAUUUGAUAAUUUAAUCAUCUCUGUCAAUUCUAUGUUUCUAUUGACUAUUUCCCCCCCAAUCGUAAGUCUAAUUUUCUUGUUUGUAUGUGCAGUAGUUAAAAAAUUCAAAUUAAAAAUAUUGCAAAUUUCUGGCCAGGUGUGGUGGCUCAUGCUUGUAACCCCAGCAUUUUGGGAGGUGGAGGCAGGCAAAUCACUUGAGGUCUGGAGUUCUCCAGCCUGGCCAACAAGGUGAAACCUGUCUCUACUAAAAAUACAAUUAG
rnacentral:lncRNA from 10 species